CUAAGGCUCCGGAGGAAGCCACGGCUAACUCUGUGCCAGCAGCCGCGGUAAUACGGAGGCGGCAAGCGUUGUUCGGAAUUAUUGGGCGUAAAGAGCACGUAGGCGGCCUUGCAAGUCAGUUGUGAAAGCCUUCCGCUUAACGGAAGAAUGCCAGCUGAUACUACAGGGCUUGAGUACGGGAGGGGAGAGUGGAACUUCUGGUGGAGCGGUGAAAUGCGUAGAUAUCAGAAGGAACGCCGGCGGCGAAAGCGACUCUCUGGCCCGAAACUGACGCUGAGUGUGCGAAAGCUAGGGGAGCAAACGGGAUUAGAUACCCCGGUAGUCCUAGCCGUAAA
rnacentral:rRNA from 1 species